UGUACAUCUUGUGUGAUUUACGCUGCGAUUCUCUGAGAUAAUCAUCACUCUGUCUCAUGACAGCCUUAUUUAUAACGUUCACACAGGUUCAGUCUCACCGCUCAGGUGUGUUAAGGCUCAACUCUAUAGGCCACGUCACCCCUCAUGCCUCCGCCGUGCAUGAAAAUGGAAUUGAAAUAUAACUACGCCUCACUGACCAGGUCAAGAACCUAAUUUCCGUCUGACUCCAAAAGAGGUAAUUUGACUUGAGGAAAUGUUUGUAGACUGUGUGUGUGAGUGAGCGAGAGAGAGCUGGAUGUGUGUGAAGCAGACGUGGGGUGACCAACCUGGGCCCUCUGUAUUUAUGAUGCACUUUUGUGAAUACAUUACAGCUGUCAUGAUGAAAUAAGUGACAUACUUACACACCGUUCGAGCUCUCGGAGGAGGAGAACAGAAGGAGGGGGGGGGGGAGAUAAGAGAGGAGUUACUUUAAAGGACUCAUAGUUGUUGAGAGCACAAGAGAGAAAGAAGAAAGAG
ensembl:lncRNA